UACGAAGGGGGCUAGCGUUGCUCGGAAUUACUGGGCGUAAAGCGCGCGUAGGCGGGUCGUUAAGUCGGGGGUGAAAUCCUGGAGCUCAACUCCAGAACUGCCUUCGAUACUGGCGAUCUUGAGUCCGGGAGAGGUGAGUAGAACUCCGAGUGUAGAGGUGAAAUUCGUAGAUAUUCGGAAGAACACCAGUGGCGAAGGCGGCUCACUGGCCCGGUACUGACGCUGAGGUGCGAAAGCGUGGGGAGCAAACAGG
rnacentral:rRNA from 1 species